CUUGGGAACCCUGUUACACUGUGGAAGCUUUGUUCUUUUGCUCUUUGCAGUAAAUCUUGCUGCUGCUCACUCUUUGGGUCCACACUGCUUUUAUGAGCUGUGACACUCACCGUGAAGGUCUGUAGCUUCACUCUUGAAGCCAGCGAGACCACGAACCCACUGGGAGGAGAGAACAACUCCAGACGUGCCACCUUAAGAGCUGUAACACUCACUGCGAAGGUCUGCAGCUUCACUCCUGAGCCAGCAAGACCACGAACCCACCAGAAGAGCGAACACAUCCGAACAUCAGAAGGAACAAACUCCGGACACGCCACCUUUAAGAACUGUAACACUCACCACGAGGGUCUGCGGCUUCAUUCUUGAAGUCAGUGAGACCAAGAACCCACCAAUUCCAGACACAUCCUUAUUGCCUUCAUGUCUUGAUGCCCCGAGAGCAUAACAGCUCGGGGCAUGCCACGGGUGCGUGGGGAGAUAACACUCCCUUGAAGUACUGGAGUAUAAUCAAACAACUUGGCUCCUGCUGAAACCCGCUCCCACCUGUUUCGGUCCUGAAGGGGACAUUUGGAUACAGACACAGGCAUGAACAGAGGAGAGACCAUGUGAAGAGUCACAGGGAGAAUGCCAUGUGAAGACAGAGGAAUGGAAUUAUCCAUCCACAUGCAAUAAAAUGCCAAAGAUUGCCAGGAAGUCACCAGAAGCUUGGAACAGUCUGGACUCUCGCUGUGUACUCCAGGCUGGAGUACAGUGGCACAAUCUAUGCUUAUGGCAACCUCUACCUCCAGGGUUCAAGCGAUUCUCCCGCCUCAGCUUCCCAAGUAGCUGGAAUUACAGGUUUUGUUAUGACUGAUUUGAUUAGAAGUAACAGAUUGAGUCUGGUUGAGAAGAAAGAGAAAUUUAAUAUUGCCAUGCAAGAUUGUUGUAUCCUUGGAUCACAUACAAAAAACCAUCCAUGUAAGACAUGACUUGCUGUUCCUUGCCUUCUGCCAUGAUUGUGAGGCUUCCCCAGCCACGUGGAACCGUUAUCCUUGCUCCUGGUGCUCUAACCUUGAGACUUUGACU
rnacentral:lncRNA from 1 species